GACGAACGCUGGCGGCGUGCUUAACACAUGCAAGUCGUACGGUAAGGCCCUUUCGGGGGUACACGAGUGGCGAACGGGUGAGUAACACGUGAGUAACCUGCCCACCACUUUGGGAUAACGCUAGGAAACUGGUGCUAAUACUGGAUAUGUUCUCCUGCUGCCUGGUGGGGGUUGGAAAGCUCCGGCGGUUGUGGAUGGACUCGCGGCCUAUCAGCUUGUUGGUGGGGUAGUGGCCUCCCAAGGCGGCGACGGGUAGCCGGCCUGAGAGGGUGACCGGCCACAUUGGGACUGAGAUACGGCCCAGACUCCUACGGGAGGGAGCAGUGGGGAAUAUGGAACAAUGGGCGCAAGCCUGAUGCAGCAACGCCGCGGGCGGGAUGACGGCCUUCGGGUUGUAAACCGCUUUCAGCAGGGACGAAGCUUUUUGUGACGGUACCUGCAGAAGAAGCACCGGCUAACUACGUG
rnacentral:rRNA from 1 species